GCCGGAGUGGUGGAACAGGUAGACACAAGGGACUUAAAAUCCCUCGAGUUUUCAAGCUCGUGCCGGUUCAAGUCCGGCCUCUGGUACCA
rnacentral:tRNA from 1 species